GGUACAUCCUUAUGAAAAAGAAGUCGGGGUCUCUAAGCUUGGUAGCAUUCCGUGUCUCUAAGAAUGGAGGUUUACAGAACACAGUGGUUGUGUGGCUGUGAGCUGAAGACAAUGUCUAUAUAACUGAAGACAGUUGUUACCCUACAGAAUGAGUCCCAGUGGCCCUCGGAGGGGCUUCUGCCUGAGAUUGGAAAGACAACAACCAGACUGGACAGUGCAAACACUCUGGACUAUUUUUUUGUAUCGGUUUAUCCAGCAGUGGUGGAAAGGGCAACCCUCAGCUGUUUGUACUCAAACUCACUGUUAACAUCAUCGUAAUUCUUGUGUUUACACUGCCUCAGUCUCUCCAAACACUGCAGUGCAUUCUCUCAAACAUGAACAUUUUAGAGUGUUGUGUUUCCUUUGAUGAACAUAAUCAUCAAUAAUAUAGGAAAUGGACUGCUGCCUUGGUUAUUAAAGCUAAUAAAAAAGAAAUGGGAUUGAAAAGUUAAAAAAGAAAAAAGUAAGCACAGGUGGGAGGGGCAUCCUGAAUUUACAAGUAUUUGAUGAUCAUGUUAAAUUUUUUGUUGUAAUUGGAAAUGUCACUUUCCCUCCCCUCCCCAAGGGGAAAAGUCAUUGGCACACGCAGGUUUUAAUUUCCUAAUAGAUAAACAGAAGGAACUCUAACGUCACCAUUAGAGUUGGCUGUGCUUUCUCAGUGCUCUGGAAAUACAAUGCAUUAUGAUGUGGUUGAUCUUAAGAUAGGGAUGGGUGUUCCAUGUUAGGAGAGGUUGCCAUGGUGAGAAUGGACCAGGCAGACAUCAGGGAAGAAAAUAGUGGACAAGGACUGAGUUCAUCAGUGCUGUUUCCACUGCAGUCUGACUUGGUGCUCAGUGUCCUGUCCUCACCCACUGGACUCUGAAUUAGGUGCUGGAAGGAGACAAUGCAGAAAUGACCAUAGUCCUCUCAUCUGCCUCCUUCCUGAUUCCUGUCUGGUGACUGCAGGGCUCUGAGAUUGUGAUGUCUGCUCUGUUCUUCAGUCUUCCUAGAGAUGCCUUAUAGCCAUGAAAGGGUCUGGAAAUCUGUCUGCUGUCCCACCUAGCAUUUCCAAAUCUUGCGUGAACUCAGGAGCAUGGUGACUAGUGACAUUCUGUGAAAGCAUGUGGGACUCAGUGGAAAACAGUUCGUAUAUAUGGGCUCCAAUGCUAACUGUGAGGAGGAAGAACAGGGUAACCUCCAUGUCUUUUUGCUAUUAUCAUGUCCACACUUACCUUGGUGGACAGUGGUCAUUGAUGAGAGAUUACUGGUGAGAAGUCUUUGAGCAGUGGAAACAUUCCAGAAUGCAUAUCACAACCCCAGCAGAUGUUGUAGUAAUUGCUGAUGUUGAGUUAAAGCUGAGUCAAUGAUUUUUAUAUUUUCACAACCAGGAAUCUACUUUGUGUCUGAUACAUCUUUAAAUAAUCAUGUUUCCCUUUGAUAUAGUUGGUGUUUGUGGUUUUGUUUAUGCUAUAGAAAAAAAAUCAUCAGUUGAGAGGAUGGAUAGAAAGAUCCAAGAUGAGUUUUGUUAAUAUUCCAUUAAAGUAUCAGUCUUGUUGA